GACGAACGCUGGCGGCGUGCCUAAUACAUGCAAGUAGAACGCUGAAGGAGGAGCUUGCUUCUCUGGAUGAGUUGCGAACGGGUGAGUAACGCGUAGGUAACCUGCCUGGUAGCGGGGGAUAACUAUUGGAAACGAUAGCUAAUACCGCAUAAGAGUAGAUGUUGCAUGACAUUUGCUUAAAAGGUGCAAUUGCAUCACUACCAGAUGGACCUGCGUUGUAUUAGCUAGUUGGUGAGGUAACGGCUCACCAAGGCAACGAUACAUAGCCGACCUGAGAGGGUGAUCGGCCACACUGGGACUGGGACACGGCCCAGACCCCUACGGGAGGCAGCAGUAGGGAAUCUUCGGCAAUGGACGGAAGUCUGACCGAGCAACGCCGCGUGAGUGAAGAAGGUUUUCGGAUCGUAAAGCUCUGUUGUAAGAGAAGAACGAGUGUGAGAGUGGAAAGUUCACACUGUGACGGUAUCUUACCAGAAAGGGACGGCUAACUACGUG
rnacentral:rRNA from 1 species